rnacentral:rRNA from 1 species
AUACGGAGGAUCCGAGCGUUAUCCGGAUUUAUUGGGUUUAAAGGGUGCGCAGGCGGCCAUUUAAGUCAGCGGUUAAAUCGUGGGGCUCAACCCCAUUCUGCCGUUGAUACUGGGUGGCUUGAUUGCGGUCGAGGUUGGCGGAAUUCGUUGUGUAGCGGUGAAAUGCAUAGAUAUGACGAAGAACACCGAUUGCGUAGGCAGCUGACCAGAUCGCAAACGACGCUCAUGCACGAAAGUGCGGGGAUCGAACAGGAUUAGAUACCCUGGUAGUCCGCACAGUAAACGAUGAAUACUUGUUUUCGGCGAUAUAAUGUCGGAGGCAAAGCGAAAGCGAUAAGUAUUCCACCUGGGGAGUACGCCGGCAACGGUGAAACUCAAAUGAAUUGGCGGGG